rnacentral:rRNA from 1 species
CUCGUAGGUGGCCAACUAAGUCAGACGUGAAAUCCCUCGGCUUAACCGGGGAACUGCGUCUGAUACUGGAUGGCUUGAGAUCGGGAGAGGGAUGCGGAAUUCCAGGUGUAGCGGUGAAAUGCGUAGAUAUCUGGAGGAACACCGGUGGCGAAGGCGGCAUCCUGGACCGACACUGACGCUGAGGAGCGAAAGCCAGGGAGCAAACG